rnacentral:lncRNA from 10 species
UAGCUACCAAGAAAUUUAAAAUUACGUAUGUGGCUCUUCACAUAUUUCUAAUGAACAACAUUGGAGACUCUUAAGGGAAUGAAAUGGACGUUCUUACUCAUCAUACCAUAAGCAUCCAGGUGAAUGAUUGCUCACUUCUUUCAUCUAAUGAGGAAUUGGCUUUCUUGAGAAUCUCAAUGCAGUGUACCUCCAACCUUAACAGACUGCUGUAAAACACCCUGACCAUUCUUUAGUAUAAGCACUGAAGAAGACAGUAUGUUGACCACGAGGCACCUGGCCUGGCUCAUAGUAUGCCAUCAAGAAAUGCUAAUUUUCUAUUUCCUCUUUUUCAAAGAGUUAUUUCAAGAAAGAAAGGAGAGGAGAGGAUGUUACAAAUUCCAUGUAAAUAAAAUUUGUCACUAAUUCUGUGAACUAAUUGAUAUCAUAAUUUGAUUCUCUUACCUCUUUUUAAUCUCUCUAUUAGUCCAUUUUUAUGCUGUGAAUAAAGACAUACCUGAGACUGGGCAAUUUACAAAAGAA